AUGGCAGCUUUGCAAGGUUUACAAACAAAAACCCUGGUUUGUGCUUCCACUUACUCAGAUUUCUCAUCAUUAUGCUGUUGCCUGGAUGACCUUAUAAGGAAAUCAGGAAGAUAUGAUGGAGCUGACCCAAAGUUUGGGGAUGUAGUUUUAUUAUGUGAUUUGUUAGAAGUAAAGAAUGACAAUGCCAAACAAUUCUGUCUAGAGUGGAGGCUCCAGGAGAUUAUGCCAUGCAUGGUGUGGAAGAGUAAAAUUGACGGCUUGAUCUCCCUCUUAGAGAAGGAAUUCAGAGAGAUGUACACAAAAGUGACAGCAGAAGCAGAUAAGAAGAACCUAUCGGCUUUGGCAUUAUUGAAAAAAGUAUUCAAGUACAAAUCAGAUGUACUGAUCAAGUUGCUGGACACAAUAUGGUUGCACUCACCAAGUGACGUUUCUUCUCAACGAGUAGCAAAAGGGCUAGCAGCUCUUUUUGAUGCUCUAGCAACGUUCAACAACCUUUUAUCAAUAGAGGCUGUCACUGAAAAUGAUGUGAAGAUCGCAUUUGAAUGUGCUUCCAUCACAUCUUCUCGAGUUAAAUUUUCCACAGUUAAAUCUAGAAACAAGCAUCGCCAGCCAAUGUCUGCAAAUGUGAAGGAAAUCCGUCGCUCUAAAGACAAAUGUGUUGAGCAGUUGGAAUAUGUCAAAAGAGUUCUUAAUUUCCCCCAUACGAAGAAUGUUGAGUGGAUGAGAAGAUAUCUGAUUGAGGAAUCCAAAAUUCUCUUAUCCACACCUUCCGAUGCACAUGGCUUGCAUUAUGUGUCUAAUGACAAAAUCAGAAUGCUAAUUGUAAUAGGGGCAGCCCAAAUAAAAGAAUGUGAGGUAGUUGCUGCAUUUUCACUUCCGUCAAUUCGACACAUAUCACUGAUAGGAGAUGAUGCACAACUAUGCUCACCAACUAAGAGCGAGGUAUCACAUGUCAUUUUACAAGCAAACUCUUGA
rnacentral:rRNA from 1 species